rnacentral:rRNA from 1 species
UACGAAGGGGGCUAGCGUUGCUCGGAAUCACUGGGCGUAAAGCGCACGUAGGCGGACCAGUUAGUUGGGGGUGAAAUCCCGGGGCUCAACCCCGGAACUGCCUCCAAAACUGCUGGUCUGGAGGUCGAGAGAGGUGAGUGGAAUUCCGAGUGUAGAGGUGAAAUUCGUAGAUAUUCGGAGGAACACCAGUGGCGAAGGCGGCUCACUGGCUCGAUACUGACGCUGAGGUGCGAAAGCGUGGGGAGCAAACAGG